UACGGAGGGUGCAAGCGUUAUCCGGAUUCACUGGGUUUAAAGGGUGCGUAGGCGGGCAGGUAAGUCAGUGGUGAAAUCUCCGAGCUUAACUCGGAAACUGCCGUUGAUACUAUUUGUCUUGAAUAUUGUGGAGGUAAGCGGAAUAUGUCAUGUAGCGGUGAAAUGCUUAGAUAUGACAUAGAACACCAAUUGCGAAAGGCAGCUUACUACACAACGAUUGACGCUGAGGCACGAAAGCCAGGGGAGCAAACGGG
rnacentral:rRNA from 1 species